rnacentral:rRNA from 1 species
ACUCCUACGGGAGGCAGCAGUGGGGAAUAUUGGACAAUGGGGGCAACCCGUGCAUCCAGCCAUGCCGCGUGAGUGAUGAAGGCCUUAGGGUUGUAAAGCUCUUUCAGCGAGGAGGAUAAUGACGUUACUCGCAGAAGAAGCCCGCGUACAUUCGUGCCAGCAGCCGCGGUAAUACGAAGGGGCGUAGCGUUGUUCGGAAUCACUGGGCGUAAAGCGCACGUAGGCGGAUUGAUAAGUUAGGGGUGAAAUCCCGGGGCUCAACCUCGGAACUGCCUUUGAUACUGUCAGUCUUGAGUCCGAGAGAGGUGAGUGGAACUCCGAGUGUAGAGGUGAAAUUCGUAGAUAUUCGGAAGAACACCAGUGGCGAAGGCGGCUCACUGGCUCGGUACUGACGCUGAGAUGCGAAAGCGUGGGGAGCAAACAGGAUUAGAUACCCUGGUAGACUGUC